rnacentral:rRNA from 1 species
AAUAGAUACCCCGGUAGUCCACGCCGUAAACGAUGAGUGCUAAGUGUUAGAGGGUUUCCGCCCUUUAGUGCUGCAGCUAACGCAUUAAGCACUCCGCCUGGGGAGUACGGUCGCAAGACUGAAACUCAAAGGAAUUGACGGGGGCCCGCACAAGCGGUGGAGCAUGUGGUUUAAUUCGAAGCAACGCGAAGAACCUUACCAGGUCUUGACAUCCCACUGACCGGUAUAGAGAUAUACCUUUCCCUUCGGGGACAGUGGUGACAGGUGGUGCAUGGUUGUCGUCAGCUCGUGUCGUGAGAUGUUGGGUUAAGUCCCGCAACGAGCGCAACCCUUGAUCUUAGUUGCCAGCAUUUAGUUGGGCACUCUAAGGUGACUGCCGGUGACAAACCGGAGGAAGGUGGGGAUGACGUCAAAUCAUCAUGCCCCUUAUGACCUGGGCUACACACGUGCUACAAUGGAUGGUACAAAGGGCUGCAAGACUGCGAAGUCAAGCCAAUCCAUAAACCAUUCUCAGUUCGGAUUGCAGG